ACAGAGGGUGCGAGCGUUGUCCGGAAUCACUGGGCGUAAAGGGCGCGUAGGUGGCUGGGGAAGCGUGUGGUGAAAGCCCGGGGCUCAACCCCGGGUCGGCCAUGCGAACUGCCCGGCUGGAGCACGGUAGAGGCACAUGGAAUUCCGGGUGUAGCGGUGGAAUGCGUAGAGAUCCGGAAGAACACCGGUGGCGAAGGCGGUGUGCUGGGCCGUUGCUGACACUGAGGCGCGACAGCGUGGGGAGCAAACAGGAUUAGAUACCCUGGUAGUCCACGCCGUAAACGAUGGGCACUAGGUCCUUGGGGGAGCGACCCCGUGAGGGCCGGCGCUAACGCAUUAAGUGCCCCGCCUGGGGAGUACGGCCGCAAGGCUG
rnacentral:rRNA from 1 species